AGUGAACGCUGGCGGCGUGCCUAAUACAUGCAAGUCGAACGGAGUGGCGCACGGGUGAGUAAUUUAUAGCUAAUCUGCCCUACACUAGAGGACAACAGUUGGAAACGGCUGCUAAUACUAUAUAGUGUAAGAUGAGGCUAUCUUGUAUCAGCUAGUUGGUGAGGUAAUGGCUCACCAAGGCUAUGACGCAUAACUGGUCUGAGAGGAUGAUCAGUCACACUGGAACUGAGACACGGUCCAGAAUCCUACGGGAGGCAGCAGUAGGGAGUAUUGCUCAAUGGGGGAAACCCUGAAGCAGCAUCGCCGCGUGGAGGAUGACACUUUUCGGAGCGUAAACUCCUUUUGUUAGGGAAGCGGUACCUACCGAAUAAGCACCGGCUAACUCCGUGCCAGCAGCCGCGGUAAUUC
rnacentral:rRNA from 1 species